CUCUUUUCUACAGCUGAGUUAAGUAUCAUGCCGUUAGCCAGCCCAAAGUUGGCACAACGGCCGGGCGAUGGGCACCGAGUCGGAAGGCUUGAGCCCCCUCGAUUUGUUCCCCAAGCUCUCCGUUUCUUUUUCCAGAGUUUUGCUCUUUCCCGCCCAGCCAUGAAGGCCUCCGUCCUCCAAACCACACGACCGGCGAACCGCGCCCGAUCAAAGGAAACCUCUCUCUCGAAGCGAUCCGAUCCCAAUUCUGGCGAAGGAAAAUCCCAAACAGUUCUCAGCAAGCCCUAUUUUCUGUUCUAUUCCUUCAUCUCCCCUGUUCUCUUCCCUCAAGAUCGUUCCCAAGCGCCUGAGCUGGGAGUUCUCCACCGCACCGGAGGGUAUCCACCACGAUCCAUCGGACCCGGAAGAUUCUUCGCCGGAGGCGACCAGCAUCGUGGAAGAUCCGGCGGAAAAGCCUCCAAUCUUGGCUUUUUCGGUUUCUUCCAAGAUUGACGAGAUCGUAGUGGUGGAAUCCGGCGAACCCACCGGCGGAUGCACCGAAAUGGUGCGGAGAAGGAGGAGAAGGAGAUGGACAAAGAGAAGGUGAGGGCUGUGUUGGUGAUAGAUCGCGUGCGAGAAGCUCUGCUCGAGAUCGGUGCAUCGGACUCGAGCGACGGAUCCAAAAAGGCGGUGGAAGCUCUGGUCAAGAUCGUGAUCGGAGAUGAGGGCACGGAUUCGAGGGCGAGAGAUGGGUUGUCGAAUCUUGACCUCUGGGCAGAUGUGCGCACCGUGAUCCUUGUUUGCCUGGUUUAGCUGCUGGUGGUGAUGUACGCCUUCGUGGCUACGGCUCUCUCGUUUGGCCGCGGACGGGAAGAAGCUUUUGUCGACUCGCCCCCUACCUGAAUUCUUCUUCUGAUAGUUGUUUCCAAGAAAAAAAGGGUUGGCGGUCUCGGCGUUGCGAUCGGCGAUGGACGGGCUCUCUCUUUUCAUGGCGUCCCUCUACCUGAGUUUUUGUUGCGAGAUGAUGGAAAUGGAUCAAAGCACAAAUAACUCCUGUACCAGGAUGAUAUUAAUGCCCCGGCCCAACAGCACUAUUUGGUGGGUUUUUGGCAAUGGUGUAGAGCGCCAUUUAAAAAUGGAGCUAUGAUCCAUACAAUUAUAAAGCAACUUCAAUUAAGAAGAGCGAUGUUAUGAUAAAACCGUUGUGAAGAAUUGUGAAGAAAAGAUAGAGGGCUCUCUUAUAUUGGAGAUAAACUUCAGGUAGAUUUUGGAUAAGGAAUUUUGAACUUUAUCGUGAGCGGGGCAUGAUAUUUUUUCUCCGAGAAUGGUUGUUGAGGGAAACCUUACAACAAUUAUUAUAUCAAAAUGAUGAAAGAAUCGUGAGAAUUGCAGAAGGGAGGUGUCUACAGGGAGAAGCUCUGGAGACGCCAAAACAUCAUUGUUGCUGGAAAUUGGACCCGGGGGCCGCCGCGAAGCCGGAGAAGGAGGAGCUUCGGCGCCUGAGAGGGCAGACGGCGGGGCGCCGGCCGGCCGCGUCCUCCGCUGGGGAGUGGAAGAGAGCAAAGAGGGGUGGUGCGUCCAGUCCUGUCCUGUCCUGCAAAAAAGCCGGUGGCCGGGCUCCCCGGCGCCGGCCCUCCGAU